rnacentral:misc_RNA from 1 species
CAACCCUCAAGCCCCCGGGCUUGGUGUUGGAGAUCGGCGAGCCCUCCGGGGCGCGCCGGCUCCCAAAUAUAGUGGCGGUCCCGCUGUAGCUUCCUCUGCGUAGUAGCACAUCUCGCACUGGAAAACAGCGCGGCCACGCCGUUAAACCCCCCACUUCUGAAAGG